AGUGGUGGUGGGAGUGACAGUGGGGAACAACGCACUCCGGCACUCUCGCUCGCUCGCACUCCCUCCGUCGGUGUUGGCGCACUCCCCUUUGCCUGGAGUUCCAAUUUUGUGUCGUCGGAAAAGCAUAUAUAUGGGACCAAAGAGAAAUGAAAAAAUAUGAAAACAUAAGAAAUUGUAAGUGAACCAAAGUGCAGUUAAAGAAAGAGAACGAGAUAAGAGAGAGAGACGAACGAAAACGCAAAGAAAA